rnacentral:tRNA from 1 species
GGUCCGAUAGCUCAACUGGAUAGAGCAUCAGCCUUCUAAGCUGACGGUUCGGGGUUCGAGUCCCUGUCGGAUCACUA